AAAUUUUCAACAACGGAUCUCUUGGUUCCGGCAUCGAUGAAGAACGCAGCGAAAUGCGAUAAGUAAUGUGAAUUGCAGAAUUCAGUGAACCAUCGAAUCUUUGAACGCACAUUGCGCCCUCUGGUAUUCCGGAGGGCAUGCCUGUCCGAGCGUCAUU
rnacentral:rRNA from 1 species